CAGUAGCCGCGGGAAUACAGAGGGUGCGAGCGUUAAUCGGAUUUACUGGGCGUAAAGCGUGCGUAGGCGGCUUUUUAAGUCGGAUGUGAAAUCCCUGAGCUUAACUUAGGAAUUGCAUUCGAUACUGGGAAGCUAGAGUAUGGGAGAGGAUGGUAGAAUUCCAGGUGUAGCGGUGAAAUGCGUAGAGAUCUGGAGGAAUACCGAUGGCGAAGGCAGCCAUCUGGCCUAAUACUGACGCUGAGGUACGAAAGCAUGGGGAGCAAACAGGAUUAGAGACCCCUGUAGUCCCUGUCUCUUAUAC
rnacentral:rRNA from 1 species